AUAAUUGUAGAUAUUUUGAAAUUUUGGUGUGGUAUGUUUGAAUAAUGUUGUUUGUGUUAGAAAUAGCAAUGUCAAUGAGAAUUGCUUCGUUCGUGUGUUUUUUAAUAAGUAUGAUGUCUAGUCUGUUAGCUGUAAUGUUUAAGUCUGUAAGUAUUGUGCGAUCCCAGUAUAAUUUGUAUUUGUUAUUUUCAAGGAACGGAGAUGGAAUGUAAGUGUAAUAGGGUGUCGUAUCGUCGAUUAAGUUCAUAAGUGUUGCUAAUUCUUUGUGGAUGAUUUUGGCGACCUUGUCGUGUCUAGCUUUGUAGUCAGUUUGUGCUAGGAUGCUGCAGGAAGAGAUUAUGUGCUGGAUCGUUUCAGGUUUUGCUUUGCAGAGGCGACAGCAGUCGUUUCUUAUGUUCGGAUCUUUGAUGAUGUAUUUUUUGUAAUUCUUGGUAUUAAUUACUUGGUCUUGAAUAGCAAACACAAAUCCUUCUGUUUCGGCAUACAAACCUGAUUUUUUUAACCAAAUCAAUGACAUCUUCUUAUUGACAUGAGUUUCUUCUAAGUCUUUGUGGAAUUUUCCAUGAAGUUGUUUUUGUUUUAGCCCACUUAUUAUUUUAUCUAUUGUGUGGGGGUGUGGAUUUCUUCGGUGUUCGACAGAUUUAAGGGUGUGUGGUUCAAAUCUGCUCUUGUGAUGGUGCGAAACAUUUCAUUUCUUUCCGCUCGUUUAAAGAAAUACUUCUUCAAAUCUGAGAUUUGUCUCUGACAUAAGUUUUCUAGGUUCUGGAAACCCCUUCCUCCAUUCUGUCUUGGUAAUGGGAAUCUUUCAAUCGACGAUUUUGGAUGAUGCCUUCUAUACUGUGUGAAGAUUUUCCUUGUUGCGAUGUUUAAAUUUUCAAGAUCAGUUUUGGACCAUUUAAUGACUCCAAAAGAAUAUGUUAGCAGUGGAACGCAGAAUGUAUUUACUGCUUUCAUUAAAUUUUUUCCAUUUAACUGUGUCUUCAAUAUUAAUUUUAAUCUCGCUAGGUAUUGAUCUUUCAACUGUGUUUUCGUUUUGGUAUGAUUGAUGUGGGAUGAUUGACAGAAACCCAGAUAUUUGUAUGUAUCGUUUCGUUCUUGGGCUUCGAUUAUUUCGUUAUUCUGGGUUAUAUGUGGUACUUGGUGUUGGACGCCUUUUUUGAUUGCUUGGGUCUUGCAUUUCUCAAUACCAAAAGACAUACCAAUAUCACCGGAAAAUUGUUCAGUCAGAUUUAAUAGAUUUGUUAACUGAUUUUGUGUACUUGCAUAUAUUUUUAUGUCAUCCAUAUACAGCAAGUGACUUAUUCUGUUUUCUCUUUGUUUGUUAAUUCUUAUAUUGAACCCAUAAUUGCAGCUGUUCAGGAUAUCGGAGAGGGGAUUUAUUGCUAAGCAGAACCAUAACGGACUAAGAGAGUCGCCUUGAAAAAUUCCUCUUCCGAUCAUUAUUGGAUCUGACUGAAUUGUUUAUUUAUUCUUCUUAUUAUUAUUAGGUGGUAACUUUUCAUUGUCUUUAAAUUAUAUUGGGGGGCUAGCGUUAACUUCCCAACGCCUGAGUCCAAUGUAUUAAGGAAUUCACCAGUAGGUAUAAAAUUUAUGCCGGAAUGCCAACAGUAUACAUAUUAUAUAUUUUUUGAGAAAAUUUAGUUAAUUAGGAUAAUAUUUUGAGUAGACAAUUAGAUAUAUUAUAUUUAUAUUGAACUUGUUUUUGUUCUAAUGUUUAUAUUGUUUUAUUACAUAUAGUGUGAAGAAUGUACUUAAUUUAAGAUUUUAUUUUGUUCUAUUAUAGGGGUUUCUCCUGUUGGGCAAUAAAGGAAUAAUCCUUUAUAAUAAUAAUAAUAAUAAUAUUAAUUAUAUUAAUCUAAUCAAUGCAUAUCAUUACUUGGUCUUAGUACCCGUAAUGAUAGAAGUCUUGCCUGAAUGCCGGUCAUUUCCGGGUCAGUGGUGGGUCUUAAAUAUUAUAAGAGUUUUCCUCAGUUCGUCUUUGUUCUGCUUGAAAAUAAUCAACCUUUCAAGUUAUAUAUAAAAAAUGUCUUGACAAAAUUCAGUACAAUUUUCUACAAAUGUAAGGUUCUGUUCUGUAAAAUCUAUGUUUAUGUUUAAAAGAACGAGUAAUGGCCAUAUUUAAAAGAUUGUUCUGUUAGUUUCUCGGACAGUUUAAUCAUGUUGGUCACGGUACAUUAGCACAAAACAGAUGAGAGAGGUGUAAAGUGGAUAAAUGAUCAAUAGUCACACUAAGCUCAUGGGGGGUGAGGCCAUAUUAAAGGAUAAUAACAGACGAAUCUCUAUGCUGCAAUUCUAAAAUUUCGAAAGUCGUUUUUUGUCGAAAGUCGUCAACGUAUAUCAAUAUUUGCCUGAAUUCCGGUCAUUUUCAGGUCAUAACUGGGGUUAUAAUAAAAUUAAGAAAGUUUAUAACAAUGAGUUUGGUACAAAAUGUUUAAAAUUCAAAGGUAGGUACAGUUAAGUGCUCAAUUGAAAUAACGACUAAAUUCUUGCAAAUUAAAACGGGCAGCCUCCCCUGACUGACAUGAGUUACAAUAAUAAUUUUAUUUGUCAAAAUUUGAUCAAACCUUUUCAAUAGUUGUAACGAAGAUGAGGGUUAAUUUGAAUAAACAUGACAAAAUAGUCGUGAUAACGGUAAGAGACGAAGGAUGGCUAUAUCAGAAAAUCGCCAAUCUUUCAAGUUUUUACAAGUCAGUUUUAGGCAGUAAAAAACUUGCAUUAACCGCACAAAUACAUAUAAUAAAAUCCCUUUAAAUUUGAUUUCGUGUAACAAAUUAAAUUUGAUGUUAUUCUCAUAGAAAAAUUUAACAAGAGAAGAUAUAAAUGAAUGGUGCCAACUUUUUAAUAAUAAUAAUAAUAGCCAUGACGAUAUACAACGCUCUAGGCCCGUGCCAUUAUUACACAUCUUAGCAGGCGAAGGGGGUACACCGGCCUAAGAGUUUAAUGGCUUUAUAGUGAUUCUACUCAUAUUCAGAUGGCGAUGAAGUUGGCCCGAAUAUUCUCUAGCCCCGUGGAACGUUUAUGUGUUAUCCUGACUGUGUUGAAAAAUUUACCAGGAUGUCUACUUGGACAUUGACAACUCCACCAUCAUAUUAUAAUUAACAUUUAUACAAAAUAUUGUAAACAUGAAAGCUUGAAUAAAUCUAUUUGAUUUAAAAUUCGGAAA